rnacentral:rRNA from 1 species
GACGAACGCUGGCGGCAUGCCUCAUACAUGCAAGUCGAGCGAUCUAACUUCGGUUAGAUAGCGGCGGACGGGUGAGUAACGCGUGGGCAACCUGCCCUGAAGUAGGGGAUAACAUCUCGAAAGAGAUGCUAAUACCUUAUAAGAUCCUCCCUUCGCAUGGAGAGAGGAAGAAAGGCGUAAGCCGCUUUAGGAUGGGCCCGCGUCCCAUUAGCUAGUUGGUAGGGUAACGGCCUACCAAGGCAGCGAUGGGUAGCCGGCCUGAGAGGGCGACCGGCCACGACUGGGACUGAGACACGGCCCAGACUCCUACGGGAGGCAGCAGUCGGGAAUAUUGGGCAAUGGGGGAAACCCUGACCCAGCAAUGCCGCGUGAGUGACGAAGGUCUUCGGAUUGUAAAGCUCUGUCCUUGGGGAAGAAGAAUGACGGUACCCAAGAAGAAAGCCACGGCUAACUACGUGCCAGCAGCCGCGGUAAACGUAGCGUG